AUCAGGGCAGCCUGGUCAGUGGAACCU
rnacentral:piRNA from 1 species